rnacentral:sRNA from 1 species
UGAAAGAGGGUACUACUCGCGACUGUAU